GUUGUUAUAUUUGGCUUCUUAGGGAAAUACCUGAGCAGAAUGUCCACCUCUCUUGGCGUCUCAUAAUUUUAUUAUCAGUCUUUCUAGUCACCUGCUCUUACAAAUAGGCCCGGGAACUUUGGGCAUCCUUGUGCCUUAAUGGUAUUUUUAAAAUGCCUCCUACCUCCUCUUUAAUUAACUGCAAUCAGGAAGGCUAGUUGGUGGACACAUGGUGUCAUCACUCUGUGAAAUGCUGCCUGAUGGCUAUAAACAUGGCCAUAUGCUCUCUGUGAAAUAUGGCUGCAAUCACCAGCAACAGGAACAGCUGAUGGGAGAAGAAGACUCGGCUUCUCACUUUCUUCUGCUUUAUUCUCCAAACCUGGGAGGCACUUUGCAGGAAAUCCUCAAGGUACAAAGAGGAUAUUUUGAAACCAAUCUGUUUACAUCAGAAGUGUUGAACAAGUUUGUUAUACAAGACAAAAGCUCAUGAUGGAGUGAUGUUGAGGUUCACUGUCAAAGAAAGGGGCUCAGCUUGCCUUUGAUGUAAGUAGAGUUCUUUUUGGAAAGGUAUUGGUUCUCUUAAUACAUAGAAAAAGAGAGCAUGAAGA
ensembl:lncRNA